GAUCCUGGCUCAGGAUGAACGCUAGCUACAGGCUUAACACACGCAAGUCGAGGGGCAUCAGGAAGAAAGCUUGCUUUCUUUGCUGGCGACCGGCGCACGGGUGAGUAACACGUAUCCAACCUGCCCUUUACUCGGGGAUAGCCUUUCGAAAGAAAGAUUAAUACCCGAUAGCAUAAUGAUUCCGCAUGGUUUCAUUAUUAAAGGAUUCCGGUAAAGGAUGGGGAUGCGUUCCAUUAGGUUGUUGGUGAGGUAACCGG
rnacentral:rRNA from 1 species